UACGUAGGUUGCAAGCGUUGUCCGGAAUUAUUGGGCGUAAAGCGCGCGCAGGUGGUUCCUUAAGUCUGAUGUGAAAGCCCACGGCUCAACCGUGGAGGGUCAUUGGAAACUGGGGAACUUGAGUGCAGAAGAGGAAAGUGGAAUUCCACGUGUAGCGGUGAAAUGCGUAGAGAUGUGGAGGAACACCAGUGGCGAAGGCGACUUUCUGGUCUGUAACUGACACUGAGGCGCGAAAGCGUGGGGAGCAAACAGG
rnacentral:rRNA from 1 species